UUCCGUCGACGACGAGGGAGGAAGGACGUAACCGAAAUGGCAAAAACAAAAGAUUCCGACACAGUAAACACCUUUAUCUUCGUUUAUUAUGGGCAUGUUUCCUGUUUUGCCGUAACUUUGGCUUUCUAUCAAAAUUCCAAUGCUACCAGACAUCUUUUUUGCUAUCUGCAAUAAAAGGAAGAGGGAAAAAUAAACAAAAAAAAGGUCUUUUCAAGGGAGGAAGAAAAAAAAAAAUUUAAUUUUGUAUUAUGUCAAUGCAGGAAUGUGUGAAUAAAUGAAUUACAAUGAAGAUAAUGAAAAUCUCUAUUGCUAGAAAUUAAGAAAAUGGCGAAACAUUCCCAUUACUUAAACGGUUUGAAGUAAAGAAAAUGGACUCGAAUUUUGUCGUGAAGAAUUCUCACGAGGUAAAUGACUUUAUUUAUUAUUUAUUUAUUUAUUUAUUAUUAUUAAGAAAUCGUUACGAAUACGUUACAACAAUUCGGGGGAGGAGGAGAAGGAUACAAAUGAACCGAAAUCGAUAUUCUAAAGAUGGAAAGUGAUAAAUUUCAAUGAUACCCACUCGACUCGCGCCAUUCUGAACUCCAUCUAAUGUCGAUUCGACGAAGUGAGAGCCCGGUUGAACUAAGUGUAAGAAAGAAGGGAGAGGGGAGAAGGGGGACGAAAAGUAGGAUGACGCAUGCGUGGCGAAUU